UAACAAGGCACACCACAUUUUUCUACCUAUUUUAUGAAUGGACACACUCUUUCUCAGCUCAUAUUAGAUCGCUAAUAACAAAGUAUGAAAUAUAUAAUCUCACUGGAGCGGUAGCUCACUAUAUCCCUUUCGAUCCAACAUUUCGAUUAAGAUUUUUCCCGUAAAACACAAUUAAUUUUUUUUCUUUCAACGAGAAUUAGUCUGAGUUUCUGUUGGUCAAUGUGAUGUACGUAUCCCUUCCUUCAAGGUGUGGCUCGGCUUCCCAAUAAUGCACCUGAUCAUCAUGGGAUUCCUGACGGUGUUUCCGGUGAUACGCCAGCCUCUGGAGGUGGUAGCGGCGCUGGUGGUCAUUGUCACGGGUAUUCCAGUCUAUUACUUCGCCAUCCACCGCCAGGAUAAGCCCAAGAAAUUCCUCUACGCCAUGGAUAAAGUGACAUAUGUGUGUCAGAUGCUGUUCCUGGCCGUGCCUGAGGGAGGAACAAGUUGAGAUCACGUCAUGUACUGAAGAGGAUGUGACUGAUGCUUUUGUAACUCUUAAAAAAGUCUUCCUUGGUAAACUCAAGCCUUAAAGUUGGUUAUGAAUUUUUUAAUUUGGAAUUUUCCAUAGUUUAUGCACGGCUAUUUCGUAGCAGUUGUCUUCCAUUGAGAGUUCUGAAGACUAACUUCACAAAGCUUCGAGUGUACUUUGGAAAAUAUUUUCUCAUGAAAGAAAUGAGUUUUUAAUGAGUGCAUAUAGGAGCCCAUUCGUUGUUACAAGAGCCCUAUACAAAAUUAUAAAUUGCGUACAGAAAACUAUCCAGGUUGGGUAUGACAGCCUUCUGAAAUGGGUACAGAAGAACCUAGAGAGGGUGGAAAAGUUCUUUACCCUGCAGCAACACAUCUCCUGCUAGAGGGCCGAGCCCACCUACCCCACUGGUAGAAAGGGGUUUUUACACCCUCAUAGGGGAAGAACUUUUCAGCAACAUUCUCAGCUUUUGAGAGCAUGACGCUUCUCGUGGCGCUGUAGACUACAAAUAUGUAUCGUGAUAUAUUAUCUAUUAAAAUUAUUGAAAAUCUAU